rnacentral:rRNA from 1 species
CCUACGGGUGGCAGCAGUGGGGAAUAUUGCGCAAUGGGCGCAAGCCUGACCCAGCAACGCCGCGUGAAGGAAGAAGGCUUUCGGGUUGUAAACCUCUUUUCUGAGGGACGAAGAAAGUGACGGUACCUCAGGAAUAAGCCACGGCUAACUACGUGCCAGACGCCGCGGUAAUACGUAGGUGGCAAGCGUUAUCCGGAUUUAUUGGGUGUAAAGGGCGGGUAGGCGGGAAAGCAAGUCAGAUGUGAAAACUCAGGGCUCAACCCUGGGCCUGCAUUUGAAACUGUUUUUCUUGAGUGCUGGAGAGGCAAUCGGAAUUCCGGGUGUAGGGGUGAAAUGCGUAGAUAUACGGAGGAACACCAGUGGCGAAGGCGGAUUGCUGGACCAUAACUGACGCUGAGGCGCGAAAGCGUGGGGAGCAAACAGGAUUAGAUACCCCUGUAGUC